UUCAGAGUUGGACUCAGGAAAAUGACUCAUGCAGGUUCUGAAAAAUUGGCUUGUGCCACCCACUUGCAUAACAGAUUCUGGGAUCCCAAGUACCUGCAAUGUGGAAUAGAAGGCUGUGUGUGGGCUCUGGACAGGCAGGUCUCACCUUGGCCCUGUGGGGAACUGCACAGCAGGAAGAGACUCAGAGUGAACCGCUCAAAGUCACAGUGCCCAUGGAUCUUCAAGAGGCGGCCUUGAUUCACCACUGCCGAUAAAUUGCUGGGUAGAAUGAAUGCCUCAGUGCUCAGGCCCUGUCAUGUGUUGGAGACAAAUGUUUUUGUUCAUUUCCCUGGAAAAAGUUCUCUGCAAAACCACAGGUGGACAUAAAAGUAUCCAGACAACUACACUCUCGCAGAGAUCUUAGGACUGUUAAAAAAAAAAAAAAGGAAAUAUACAUAUAUAUGCACAAAAUUGCUGAUAACCAUAAUAAAAAUAAUGCAGAAAUUCUCCAGACUUGGAAAGUUUAAAACAUUAUGAAACUUCUUCCUUACAGUUACAUAGCACAAUUAUUUGUGUAUUCAGCUCUGAAAUUUUC
rnacentral:lncRNA from 10 species